rnacentral:rRNA from 1 species
UACGUAGGUGCCAAGCGUUGUCCGGAUUUACUGGGUGUAAAGGGCGCGUAGGCGGGAUAGCAAGUCAGUCGUGAAAUGCCGAGGCUUAACCUCGGAGCUGCGAUUGAAACUGUUAUUCUUGAGUAUCGGAGAGGAAAGCGGAAUUCCUAGUGUAGCGGUGAAAUGCGUAGAUAUUAGGAGGAACACCAGUGGCGAAGGCGGCUUUCUGGACGACAACUGACGCUGAGGCGCGAAAGUGUGGGGAGCAAACAGG